AUUGAACGCUGGCGGCAGGCCUAACACCUGCAAGUCGCACGAGUGGCGGACGGGUGAGUAAUGUCUGGGAAACUGCCUGAUGGAGGGGGAUAACUACUGGAAACGGUAGAUAAUACCGCAUAACAUCAGAUGUGCCCAGAUGGGAUUAGAUAGUUGUUGGGGUAACGGCGUACCAAGGCGACGAUCCCUAGCUGGUCUGAGAGGAUGACCAGCCACCCUGGAACUGAGACACGGUCCAGACUCCUACGGGAGGCAGCAGUGGGGAAUAUUGCCCAAUGGGCGCAAGCCUGAUGCAGCCAUGCCGCGUGUAUGAAGAAGGCCUUCGGGUUGUAAAGUACUUUCAGCUGGGAGGCGUUACCCGCAGAAGAAGCACCGGCGAACUCCGUGCCAGCCGCCGCGGUAAUUC
rnacentral:rRNA from 1 species